GACGGAGGAUGCAAGCGUUAUCCGGAAUGAUUGGGCGUAAAGCGUCCGCAGGUGGCAGUUCAAGUCUGCUGUCAAAGACCGGGGCUUAACUUCGGAAAGCCAGUGGAAACUGAACAGCUAGAGUAUGGUAGGGGCAGAGGGAAUUCCUGGUGUAGCGGUGAAAUGCGUAGAGAUCAGGAAGAACAUCGGUGGCGAAGGCGCCUUGCUGGACCAUAACUGACACUCAGGGACGAAAGCUAGGGGAGCGAAUGGG
rnacentral:rRNA from 1 species